rnacentral:piRNA from 1 species
GUUGUGUGAUACAUUCUGAGAUC